CGCAAGAAGAAAAUGGCGUCCCAUUUUGAAUCUUGUUUUUUUGCCUUCCUUAACGGGUUUAAAAGAUAACGUACUGUGAUAGUUUUUAGUGUUUGGAAUCAAGACGCCUAAGAUGUCAUGAGUAUGUUGAUUUGGGACCUUACAACGGAGACGAGAUCGAAAAGCCCAUGGUUCCAUCCGUACUUUGCUGACGUUUCCUGCUAGGAGAGACUGAUUUAAUAUGGCUAGAGGAUUACCGAAGGGCAGCCAUAUAAAGGUAGGAUUUUUCCUUUUAUGCAUGGUGUAUUGCAUGUUAUAUAUUAUGUGUUGGGGGGGGAGUGAAUAGUGCAUAUUACAAUCAAGAGCAAGAUCACCAACUAUUUUAGCUAAUCUUCGUGUUUAUAGUACAAUGCAAGUUGCAACAAUCUCCUCAAUUUAUCAGCUUGGUCAUGUAAGCUUCACCAUAAUGAUUCUUAGAAAAGUUUCCUUCAUGGUAUGACUAGACUGAGUAAGCUGAGUCACUGUUGCACCUUCAUUUAUAUUAUUACACAAAGGUCAGCUUAGAGGAAGGUAAGUGCGUGCUCGUAUAUAAUGAAUUAGUUCAUCAGUUAAAAGAUACUUUUUACUGUAAUGAACGAGAUGAACACAAUUUAUACAGAGAGAUUCUUUUAAGAGAAUACAUUAAUACAUACAAUUUCCCUAUGUAACACCUCCCAUUAGGAAUUUUAGAAACUUAUACAGUGUGGCCAUUUAAGUUCGCAGCAUAUGGCAAACUUUUUUAUUAUUAACAUUAGGAAAAAAAGAGUAAAAAACAUCUUUAUUUUUUAUUAAUGUUGGAAAUUGUUAUUUCAGAAAAUUUGUUUAAUAUUGCAAAGUAAUAUCUAAUAAACAAUAAACUCUUUUGUUAUCAUCAAAAAAUGGAUAACCUUUUGGGCAUAUAAUUUUGGUGGAUGAUAUUAUGACUCAAAAUAAAUUGAUAAUCAUAAAUAGAAAUAGUAUUUGUUGUCACUUCUGGUAUAAGUGGUAUACAGACUGAUUCAAAUUCGAGGGGCACCCAGACAUAUGAGAUACGCAUAUAUCUAUGGGGGCACCAUGGGGAUCUCGGGAACUGUAAGAGAUAGGUAGGUUGUUUAAAUUUGGCAAAGUUGCGUACUUUGAUGCUUACCAAAAUGCAGUUUUAAAACUUAAAAAAU